rnacentral:rRNA from 1 species
GAUGAACGCUGGCGGUGUGCCUAAUACAUGCAAGUCGAGCGAACAGACGAGGAGCUUACUCCUCUGACGUUAGCGGCGGACGGGUGAGUAACACGUGGAUAACCUACCUAUAAGACUGGGAUAACUUCGGGAAACCGGCGCUAAUACCGGAUAACAUGUUGAACCGCAUGGUUCAACAGUGAAAGACGGUCUUGCUGUCACUUAUAGAUGGAUCCGCGUCGCAUUAGCUAGUUGGUAAGGUAACGGCUUACCAGGGCAACGAUGCGUAGCCGACCUGAGAGGGUGAUCGGCCACACUGGAACUGAGACGCGGUCCAGACUCCUACGGGAGGCAGCAGUAGGGAAUCUGCCGCAAUGGGCGAAAGCCUGACGGAGCAACGCCGAGUGAGUGAAGAAGGUCUUCGGAUCGUAAAACUCUGUUAUUAGGGAAGAACAAAUGUGUAAGUAACUAUGCACGUCUUGACGGUACCGAAUCAGAAAGCCACGGCUAACUACGUG